ACUACAUGUAGAGACUCGUUAACCGGAGGACGCUUGAACCCUCCUCCCCACUAGAAGUUCAAAGUGGGGGGGGAAGCAUUAGAAGCGAUGAAGGAAGUAGCACUGGAGGAUGAAUUUCAUUCCGGUAGUGAUGGAAAUGGGGGAAUAGAUGUAUGGUUGCUUACAAAAAAGCAUUUUUGAGCCAAAAGUUGAAAAUUUAUUUACACGCCAAGAAUGAAUCGCAUUUUUAGAAUGCAUAGGGUGGAGUGUGAAUGACUGUCGAUCUGAUCUAUGAAAAAGACAGACCUUAUUUAUGCACGAUCUUUCUUAAUAAAAGGGCUAUUCAAUUUGUCAUCUCAUCUGCUAUUGUCUGGAUACUUGGUGAGUCGAGAAAAUUAGUACAAAAAUGUCGGGAUUUUAGAAGACUUGCUAUACAAGAAUCGACUAAUGCCAAACGCAAUGGAGGCUGACUUCCGUAAUUAUCUGCUGGUGCAAUUAGUUUCAACAAGGAUAACGCUGGAUCCGAGAUGCGUUACGCCAGUACGGGACUUUUACAAAUGGUUGUUGGUUCUUUCAUUACUGAAUGCAUAUAAGAAUCUACCGCAAGCUGCUCUGAAGGAGGAACCUGACCAGAUAAGUUACUUCAGGAAUCUAUUAUUCCUGUAAACCCAAGCUUGUUUGCUCUUCCCGAACAGAUCAGAAAGUUUCUUCAGAAAAUACAGCCCGGAAGAGCCCAAGGAAUUGAAUUUAACAUGUGUGUGUAAAGUGUAUCCAUUUUUAGUGUGUGUAAAGUGUAUCCAUUUUUAGUGUGUGUAAAGUGUAUCCAUUUUUAGUGUGUGUAAAGUGUAUCCAUUUUU